AUGGAGCUCAAUGUUCACCUCCGUGCUACUGAUGGUGAUCCUCUCCCUGACCCGACGCGUUAUCGUCAUCUUGUUGGCAGUCUUGUCUAUCUAGUUGUCACUCGUCCGGACAUCUCUUAUCCGGUUCAUAUUCUGAGUCAGUUUGUCUCUGCUCCCACCUCGGUUCACUAUAGUCAUCUCCUUCAUGUUCUCCGAUAUCUUCGAGGCACGAUCUCUCACCGUCUAUUCUUUCCUCGCUCCAGUUCUUUACAGCUUCAGGCCUAUUCGGAUGCUACGUGGGCUAGUGAUCCUUCAGAUCGCCGUUCACUUUCUGCUUACUAUGUUUUUCUUGGUGGUUCUCUCAUUGCCUGGAAGACGAAGAAACAGCUUGCAGUUUCCCGUUCGAGUGCCGAGGCUGAGUUGCGAGCAAUGGCUCUUUUGACGGCAGAGGUGACUUGGUUACGGUGGUUACUUCAGGAUUUUGGUGUUUCUGUCACUACACCGACUCUGCUCUUAUCCGACAGUACAGGUGCUAUCAGCAUUGCGCGCGUUCCUGUGAAGCAUGAGCUCACCAAGCAUAUUGGUGUUGAUGCUUUCUAUGUGCGCGCUGGUGUGCAGGAUCAGGUUAUUGCUCUACAGUAUGUGCCUUCCGAGUUACAGUUGGCGGAUUUCCUGACGAAGGCCCAGACUAGAGCACAACAUGGCUUUUAUCUCUCCAAACUCAGUAUUGUUCAUCCACCAUGA
rnacentral:rRNA from 1 species